UAUUGGAAAACUGUUACAAGGUCUCCCUAUACCACUAGUGCUCCUCACAGUCACAACUACCUUGUUACAUCUGCCUUCAAGUAUUCCAGUAUUACUGCUGCUUUUAAAGCUGUUUGUGGUUGUGUUUUUGGCAUUUGAUAGCCGGUGCUACAUCAAUUCAGUCCACCACUUCUCUAGUGGAAGAUGAGCUGUAACGAAGCAGCACUGCUGUGUUCUUCAGCACACCUCCUGAUCCAGAACGCACCAUUUUGCAUAUGGAAUGUGCACCCCAUAAUUUAAAUUAGCAUAGUCAGGUAAAAGGUUUGCUUUAAAGAAACCCCAUCUGCGCUUUGUAAGCAGGUGGUGGGAGGCUUUAACUGCCAAGUGCUGUUGAACUGUGUGAUUUAUUAUGGAGGGGAAUAAGUGAUGGAGUCCUUAUUACCCAGAACAAGUGAAAAGCCAGGAGAUUAAGAAAUCUUACAUGGGAAGAGAAUAACAAAGAGAUUAAGCACAGAACCCCAUGUAUUAAGUCAACCACCCUCCUGGUUCCUGCACUUUAGACACUUGUGUAACAAGCCUGAAUGAUUUGUGAUUUAUACAUUUAACUUUUCAUGCACUCUUUACCCUAGAAGUGAUGUGCUCUCUAUGACAUUGGGUUCAUUGCAGGUUACUUAGCUGCUGUUUUAUGAGGAUGGAUUGUUUCAUACAUAAAUGCAUUUCGUACCCAUCUGGAAUGUCCUCUGCCAGUUUUGGGUGUCCAUAACAUAACUACAGAGAAUAUACUGCCUGUUACGACUGGGUUUGGGUUUCUUUGUUCAGCUUCUCGCUCAUAGCUGCCAAGUGCCUGAUCUCUCUGUCACAGGUCUCUUUUUGAGCAAUGAGGCUGUGUUUUCUAUUGGGGUCCCUAAGGGAAGGUCCUUGAUAGGUGGGGGUCAGUUUGGGUUUGGUUAAAGUUCUCCCAUUGAAGUCACAGCACUCCUGUUAGUCACUUUCCAGAGCCAUAUGUGGCUGCCUCUGCUUGGCUCAGCCUUGAGCCUCACUACCCCACCCCACAUCCCUGAUGCUGUUGCAUCCUUUCAGGUUUGAAAGCUGGCUGAGGGAUUUAGCCCCACAGCUCUUUAUUCAGUUCAGUGAUGGGCAGUGUGAGAGCGCAGCAACCAAGCAAGCACUUCAUGCAGAGCCCCAUGACUGGAACUCCACACAGGACUGGGGACAUGGGGAUUCGUAUGUACCAUUCUGAGGGCAGGGUUGAUGCCUGAACCUCUCCCUUUACUUCAGAACUCUCCCUUUUUACUUGUUGAACGUGUUUAGAUUUGAUGAGGCAUGGAAUUGCAGAUUUAAGAAGAACCAAGCUCAGAAUCCAGCUAAUGCAAGACCCUAAACCAGUGCCUGCAAGUGGUUUUUGCGCAUACUUCACAGGAGUUGUAUCUGCUUGAUGGUUAGAGCAGAUUGUUGAGACAUUAAAAUGCAAAGAUAAAAGGUCUCUUGAUCAUCUGUCCACAGGAAUGGCUGUAAGCACAGUCUCAUACAUCCUUCUUUCCCUAAUGCUGUGGAACGCUCUGUUUCUCCAAAACAUGUGGAAUAGAAAUAGGCUUUCACACAUAGAAUCAUAGAACGGUUUGGGUUGGAAAGGACCUAAGACCAUCCAGUUCCAACCCCCCUGCCAUGGGCAGGGAUACCUCACACUAAACCAUGGCACCCAAGGCUCUGUCCAGCCUGGCCUUGAACACUGCAAGGGAUGGGGCAUUUACCACGUCUUUGGGCUCAUAGAACAUCAUGUACUGACAUGCUGUCUAAAUUGAAGCCUUGGUCGGUCACUGUGGUGUGUACGCUGUUGCUCCCUAGAUUUUGGAAGAGGGAGUUUCAAGCAGCAUAAGCAGCAAGUUCCUCCUUAGACAGAACAGGAUCUGAUUUUUCUCUUGAUCUUCUAAGUUGACAUUGUUUGAUGUUGACUGUUGAACUCAGCUGAAUGCACUGAUGAUGUUUACUGUCUUAGCAAAUAACAUCUGUCCACCUGUAAUGGACAUGGAAUACCCCGUGUUAACAUGACCAAACUUCCUAAUAUUGACACUAUGCUAAUGUGGGGUUUUCCUCGAGUUCAAUAUAUCAUUGCAGAUGGCUGAUGACACUGUGACAGAUGAACAGCAGUUGACUGAAAACAGCUCCAUUGAGCAAUGUUUAUUGACCAUUUUCAUAUACUGAACUCUUUGUACCAAACCAGCUGGUGACUAACAUUAGCCUUAUAUGUAUCAGCAUAUCUUGUUUUGCAAAGCACAGUAGCUUUGGAAUAGUUCCUGUCUUUCCUUUGUUAUUCCUGCUGCAGUCGAGCACUCAUUUGUGUCUUUGGAGUUGAAAUUAUUAAAGAGGUUUGGUUUAAAUACAGCUGUUCCCAGGUGUUUCUUGGCUUUUGGGUUGCCCGGGGCUGGCCAGCGUGUGAUGCUGUUCAGUGGAUGGGUGGUUGUAUGUCUAUAGAACAGCAAGGUUUGUAUGACCUGCAUCGGUGGGGAAGCUGCUUGUAUGCAGCUACAAUAGUGUGAGGCCCUGUGGUAGCAGCACAAAACUUGGUCGUAUUGCCUACAGCCAGCAAACACAGUCAGGUUUUAAAUAGAGAAGGAUGUGAUUGUGUUCAUUUUGAAGCCUCUGGGCUCCCCCAGUCUUUGGUGCCUUGUGCUGGAGCCCUUUAAGCACUGGACCUUGCUUGGAGGUGCAAAUAGUGCAGGAUCUUCUCAUCUCCAAAUGCAAAACCCAGUGUUAAAGGGACUUCAGGUGCGUGACAUGGAUGGGAGAGGAAAAGGCAGGAGUCAGAACGUGCCAUCACCUUGGAGGUGCAGAUUGCACAUCCUUUGCCUCAUCCUUUCCCUGUUUGUUUCAGUGGGAGGAGGAUAAUCGCUGCAGGGCAGAACCUCUCCAGGCAGAACCCAUGGACCAGAAGGCACUGACUUAGCCAGUUCCAUCACAUCCCAGCAGCCAGGCUCCUCUGGUGACCCCCAGGUUGCAUUGAGUAAGGACAUGUACCUCAAGAAGCCCAAGUGAUCUUGGCUUGCCUCUUACCCAGAGGGACCAAGCACUCAACAUGCUUCUGUUGAACAUGCUUAUGUUAUCUCUUGGCCUUAUGGAAAACAAGACACGAACUGGCUGGAGGUGGAUCUGUGAUCAAGUAGCUCUGUGUCCUCAGAGAACAUCUUGAGGGCCAUCUGCCUCCCCAACGGCUCCUUCUCCAACACCUUAGACAAGAUAAGCUUGGGUUGCACUGAGGUGUAGGUCCAACACCAACACCAGAUUGGGGUUCAGCAGAGCUCCUUUUAUGGGUCCUCAAUGGGGACAGGACAGACAGACAACUCCACCACCAUUGUGCUGGCAUCGAGGAAGCAUCACCAGAAGCAGGACAAGGACAAAUGUCUGGAUUCAGCCUCAGCCAAGAGGGGAUAAUGUGGUGAGACCUGGACCUCAAGGAGGAACCCUGUGCCCUUAGCAUGAGCAGACCCGGGAUGAUGUCCUCAUUCACCUUAUACCAGCAUGGAACUAAUGAUAUUUGGAGCACUAUGUGUGACGGAUAAAAACAUCCCAACCUACAAGAAGAAACGGCAUGGACUUACUUUUCAGACCUAUUUUGCAGUCAAUGUAGUUAAUUCAGCAUUCUGGCUCCUAAAGUCCUCACCAAGGUGAGACAGCCCCAAGCUGGUACCUCACCUUGCUCACAUCCAAAACCCAAGGGGCUCAGUGCAUGACACUUUCCAGCUGCUCCUGCAACCCAAAUAGCUCCUGAAAAACAUUCAACCUCAUGAGUCUCCUUCACUGAGACUGACUUGGUCAUUUGCAUGCAAGAGGCUAACCUUGACUUAAUGAAAUUAGCAGUAAUUAAUGGCACUGAUAAGCACAUAGAAAGGGAGUAAAUGAAGCUUGAUGCGUGCGGCUCCUGUGGACCGUGCGCCCACAGCACAGCACCCAGUGACACCUCGAGACAUGGAGGCCUCUGACUCUGGUUUCUCAUCACUGAGCUCAGCUGCUGUGUUGACUCACUGCUGAACAGCAGAACGGAGUAAAGCUGUUGAAAUACUGCAGUGUUGUAGGAGCCUGGGGACAAGUCCAGCUUCUCAGGUAAGAGAAGUGAUGAAGAGGACAGCCAAAUCCACUCUGCACCCAGGCAAACCUGUCCAGUGAGUCAUUGCUUAACAGCAUUUUGCUCCUUUGAAGUCCUCCAAGGGAUUUCCUGGUUUUUCCCUUUGUUCCCCUUCUACUUCUUUGGUGUUUUUUCUUUAAUCUUCUUGUUUUCAACACCCCACCUCGGCUGGAAGAAGAACAAGAUUAAGUUACAAGAUGAAAACCAGCAAUGAACCCGCAAACAACAGCAUCAGAGCAGACCUGUUGUAGGAGGGAUAUUUUAUACAAGUUAUCUGAAAGGCAAACAAACUCCAGCUGUGUUUCCUUGCUGCUAGCAUCAGUUGGAGACAAUAUGGACUUGUUUCUGCUGAAGAUCUCUCUGCCACGUCACCCUAAAUUUGACAGUUCACUGUCAACCUGCUUUGCAGCUGAUGCGCUCACGCAAGCCCCUCCAGAGCAGCUGUGGCUCUUCAGUAAGGCCCAGGACAUUUGAUACUAGGUCUGUCAAUAUGCUCCCAUCACAUGGUGUUUGUGUUCAGGAUGAAGUAAAAGACCUUCUUCCCAUACCAUGAUCCAUGUUACAUCCCAGCAGAUCCCUUCCUGGAGCAGCAGCCCCGUGUCAGGUUUGCACAACCAUCACAGCAACAAUCCCAGCCUGGACACACCAUGAGAUCUCAGCAUUG